ACUUGUAAACAAUAUGUCAUUUAAAUGUUCAUUACGUAGAACUGAAUUCAAAAAUUUUGGACAAUUUUUCUAGCGGUAAGGGAACAACCAUUUGACUUCAAAAGGGGGGUGGGGUGGAAUGGAAAUAUUCCGAUCCCCCAAUUUGAUAAAAAAAAUGGUCAUACAGAUGAUAAAAAAAAUAUUCUGAAUCAAGAGUUUCCCCAUACAUUAUAGUGUUAAAUAUUGAA
rnacentral:lncRNA from 1 species